GCGGAAGUAGUUCAGUGGUAGAAUACAACCUUGCCCAGGUUGGGGUCGCGGGUUCGAAUCCCGUCUUCCGCUCCA
rnacentral:tRNA from 1 species